GGACUGGACCUACAACCCUGGGGCAUCAGGACAACACUCCAACUAACUGAGCCACGGGGCCAGGGCCUUCACCGGAUGUUACAGAGAAAGCAGGACAUCCAGCUUCGCUUCUAAUCAAGUCAAGUUCUAGAAGAUCGUGAGAUUACUGGACGAUGUGGAAGAAGAGGAAGGGGAAGGAGGAGAAGGAGGAGGGUUACAAACAGCAAGGACAACUGGGGACACACAGCGAUAUGGACAGUCGGUGAAGAAGAGAAGAAAGGAGGUCCCAGGUUGGCGGCUGUGACACCGAGAAGGCUUCCGAGGAAAAGAAGACGGCUCUGGCUGUGGUCGGAGUCCCAUCCACAUGGCCUUUGAAAUGCAGGGCCAACCGCUGUCCCAGAGGAACAGCAGCGCUGACCACGCCAGCCCACGGAGGAAGGCUCGCUCUCCCUGAUCAGGACUAACUGCCCUGCGCCCCGCCCCCGCGAAGGCAAAUCAACAGAAACGCAGGCAGACACUUCUAACCGCUGCCUUUUAAUCCCUCUGUCACAAAUGUGUUUCCGCUCAAAUACAUAAUCAGGAAGGCACGCAGGCGCUGGCCCGUUCAGAGAACCGAAGGGAGAGACAGCGAAGGCCCAGAUGCGAACUCCCUGGAGGA